GGGGAAUAUUGCACAAUGGGGGAAACCCUGAUGCAGCGACGCCGCGUGGAGGAAGAAGGUCUUCGGAUUGUAAACUCCUGUUGUUGAGGAAGAUAAUGACGGUACUCAACAAGAAAGCACCGGCUAACUACGUGCCAGCAGCCGCGGUAAAACGUAGGGUGCAAGCGUUGUCCGGAAUUACUGGGUGUAAAGGGAGCGCAGGCGGGAAGACAAGUUGGAAGUGAAAACCAUGGGCUCAACCCAUGAAUUGCUUUCAAAACUGUUUUUCUUGAGUAGUGCAGAGGUAGAUGGAAUUCCCGGUGUAGCGGUGGAAUGCGUAGAUAUCGGGAGGAACACCAGUGGCGAAGGCGGUCUACUGGGCACCAACUGACGCUGAGGCUCGAAAGCAUGGGUAGCAAACAGGAUUAGAUACCCUGGUAGUCCACGCCGUAAACGAUGACUACUAGGUGUCGGGUGGCAAAGCCAUUCGGUGCCGCAGCCAACGCAAUAAGUAGUCCACCUGGGGAGUACGUUCGCAAGAAUGAAACUCAAAGGAAUUGACGGGGGCCCGCACAAGCAGUGGAGUAUGUGGUUUAAUUCGAAGCAACGCGAAGAACCUUACCAGGUCUUGACAUCCGAUGCAUAACACAGAGAUGUGUGAAAUCCUUCGGGACAUCGAGACAGGUGGUGCAUGGUUGUCGUCAGCUCGUGUCGUGAGAUGUUGGGUUAAGUCCCGCAACGAGCGCAACCCUUAUUGCCAGUUACUACGUUAAGAGGACUCUGGCGAGACUGCCGUUGACAAAACGGAGGAAGGUGGGGAUGACGUCAAAUCAUCAUGCCCUUUAUGACCUGGGCUACACACGUACUACAAUGGCGUUAAACAAAGAGAAGCAAGACCGCGAGGUGGAGCAAAACUCAAAAACAACGUCUCAGUUCAGAUUGCAGGCUGCAACUCGCCUGCAUGAAGUCGGAAUUGCUAGUAAUCGCGGAUCAGCAUGCCGCGGUGAAUACGUUCCCG
rnacentral:rRNA from 1 species